rnacentral:lncRNA from 1 species
GUAAUAUCUUCAAGAGAAUUGCAAAUCAGUUUUGCACUGCAAAUGCUUUUCAGUUCUGGUAAAUCAAACAAUUCCAGAAUUCUUAACUUUGGGAGAAUGACUUCCGUGAUGGAAUUGGAGGUGCUGCUUUCUUCAUCUGUUGUUCCUAUUAUCUCCUCCAUUUUCUCACAACUGCUAACAUCAAUCCUUGCCAGGUUUACGAGGUUUGGCAGCAACACAAGUGGAAACAACUUCUUCAUAUUGUUACAUCCACAACAAUUAAACUCUUUAAGACCAGAAAACGUACCAUUAUAUGAUGGCAAUGGUGGUGGAGCAUAGCAGAACCAAGAAGAUGAAACCAAGCUCUCCAUGUUAUGGCAACCCCAAAUGUCGAUGAGCUCAAGUUCAGUUGCAUUCUCUAAUGACAAAACAUCACAUAAACUUCUUGCAUCGAUGCUUUCACAAAUCAGUCCUUGAAUGCCAUUUAAGAACUUGACCUGAAAAUCUCCAUCUCCGUUGAUACUCAAAUUACCCAACCCAACUGUUUUAGUUGGAAAAUCAUCAAUUUGGACAGCCCAACAAUCUACAUCCACCAUUCCUACUAAAAUUGUAUAUGUGCUUAAUGAUUGAAUCCCAUCCCGAGAUCUGAGAUACUCCACGAAAUCAGAAAAACCUUCGAAAUGGCAUUCCAAACUUUCCAAAUUUCUCAAGGAUCCUACUUCAUUUCCUUUAACUGUUAUCGGAGCAUAUAUUGCAUCAAUUGAAAAUUCAUGUAGUACAAAGACUUGCAGGUGAGAGAGUUUUGGUAAUAUUCCACUAGGAAACUUCUUUUCACCACAUCCACUCAUUCUAAGAAACCUUAGGUUGGUUAGGCAUUCCAUUCCUUGCGGCAUCUUUUCAAGCGCAGUACUAGAGAGAUCCAACCUCUUCAGUGCCCUGAGCUUCUUUAAUGAUGGAACAUGUCUUAAAUUCUUACAGUUUUUGAUCAAUAACGCAGUGAGACUCACCAAAUCAGAGAUAGAGUCUGGCAAAUUUUCAAUACCUGUGCGAGACAGAUCGAGGACCAUGAGCCCAUUCAAUUGCUUGAAAAAUGAAUCUGCAACAAAUCUCAACCCUCUAUUAUCACAUAGAAAUAGAGUGGACAGAUUUGGACACAUUGGUGAAUGGCUGGAAGGAAUUUCUUCGAUCUCGUUUUCCAUUAAUGAAACUCUCCUCAGAUUCUCCAUCCAUUCCUCUGCAUCUGGCAACUCUUUUAAUUGUGCACCUGCUUUGACCAUGCCUUGAGAGUUCUCUAGCAGUAUUUGGAUGGCCAUGUCCCUAAUCAAGUCAUGCAUCUUGACACGUCUACUAUCAUCAUAAUUCAUUUUAGCACUUUCCAAUAAACAGACAUUUUCAAGUCUAUUAAGCAUCAUGUGGCCCUCAUCAAAUGCAUCUCCGCUGCUCCUCUUUCCUUUAAUUAUUCCCUCAUCGAUCAAAUAACCUAUCAACCUCUUCCUCUUAAUCCUAUAAUCUUCAGGAAAUAAUGCACAGUACAAGAGACAUUGUUGUAGUGCUAAAUCACCUAAUCGAUCAUAACUAAGCCUCAAUAACUUGAAUACUUCAUUGUCCCUAAAUUCUGAUUCUUUCAAUUUCUUCAAUGUAUUUCUCCACUCAUGUAGGUCAUCCACUCCCCUCAAGCUUCUUGCUACUGUAAUAAUUCCCAACGGCAAACCAGCACAUUCCUUUGCAACAACUUUUGCAAUCCCUUCCACUUCUCGCGAAAGUGCUAUGUCACGUCCAAGUUUCUCCAUGAACAAAGUCCAAGCUUCUCCAUCAGAAAGUGACUUCACUUUGAUUUUACGGUGGCAAGCCAUCUGAUGACAAACCAUUUCUGAUCGAGUUGUCAUAAUCAGCUUGCAUUCUUUCAACUUCUCAGGAAUUCCAACUCUAUCAAGUUCAAAAUUGUUCCACAAAUCAUCUAAAAUGAGAAUCCAUUUUUGUUUUUUCCUUAGUUCUUCUGACAAUUUGGCAGGUCUGAGCUGAACAUCAUCUUCGCUUGAAAGAUCUAGAUGAAGAUGUUUAGCAAUAAGAUUCUGCAAUCUAUUAAUGCUGAAAUCUUGAGACACAGUCACCCACCAAACAUGAUCACAAAUAUCUGAUCUUUGUAGAAGCUCAUUAUAAAUAUGUUGCAUUAUUGUUGUUUUACCAACUCCCCCCAUCCCAUAAAUGCCAAUGGUUGAGGCAUCCCCAUCCAUUAACAAAGACCAUAUCACCUUCUUAUUCUCUUCGAAUGCUUGACCCACUGGCUUUGUAGAGCUAGUAGGUAAUGGAACUCCUCUAGUCUUGUUGUAUUUCUGACUUUCAGAAGAUCUAGCUCCUGCGCCAGCCUGCACUACUGAUCUUCGACUAUUAUCCACAUCCUCCUCCACUGGUUCUGUCCUCACUCUAACCAGAUUAAUUCUCUCUUCCCCGGCACCUUGUUCCAGCACCCCCUGAACUCCCACUUGUAUCCUUCUCUAACCAGAUUAAUUCUCUCUUCCCCGGCACCUUGUUCCAGCACCCCCUGAACUCCCACUUGUAUCCUUCUAGCACCCCCUGCCAAAUUGCCAAGUACUGCAUUGCUUUGUUCCAACGAUCGAUCCACUGGUUCUGUCCUCCGUCUGCUCUCGAGUGCCCCUUCGGAAACUCCAUCUUCUGGUGCUUUCAUUCCGGUCAUGCUUACUACGUCGUUUCCUGCUAUUGCUUGUGAAGUAAUCCUCUCUUCCCCUGCUCCGGGUUCUACAACCUGAACUUCUCUUUGUACCCUUCCAAUUCCUCCUACCAUUGUUGAAAUUCCAGAGUCAUUAACAUUGACUGAACUUGCUGUGCUUUUAUGUCUUUUGUUGCCACCACACAUAGCUUUCCAGGCUGCUUCUUGAACUUCUUUAGGCAACCCACGACAAAUGGCAACACCAUGCCCUUCUUCUGCUGAUAAAUGCCAUUUGAUCCUUGAAAUGGAAGUUUUAAUGGCGUAUGUAUGUGGACAAAACUUACACUUCAUGCUACCAUCAUCAGCACUUUUUUCAACAUAAUUCCAAAAUGGAUCAUAUAAUCCACCCAUUUCAACCUAUAUAUAGGAAAAAAAAAAAGGGGGGGUCAAAAUAUAGAAUAAAAAUCAGUCAAAAUAAAGAAUAAAAAUUGAAGCAAGUUACACCAUAUCCGGAUGGAUGAGAAACUACUUCUUCAGUGCUGUUACCCUUAUUUUGCUAUUAAAAUUGAUAGUUAGUUUAUUGCACAAUCAUAGGAGGGAAAAAGACGACGAUAAUUCAGUUAGACUUCUUACUUGUUGAGCAUUUAAACCCCUAUUUUGACUUUGCAGGGAAGUGCCAAGGCCGGGAUUUGAGGCAUUUGGCCUAGCAGUUUGAUUUUGCAAUCCUCGUACUUGGAGGUUAUCCAUCUGUGACCUAUAUAUAAAUGAAGUGAUCAUAUUAUAAAACCUUUCCAUAAUUGGUAGUCUCUCUUAAGCAGUAAAAGUUAAUGGUGUUAAAACACAACAGCUAGAAGUCAAUCAGUACCUAGGCACGAGGUUCUCUUGUUGGACAUUGUCUAUGUUAGGAAUUACAGCAGCUCGAUCGACUUGUCCUUGAUUUGAAAAAUAUUGACUCCUGAAUCCAAAAUCAUUUGCAAACAAUAUGUUUAGCUUGUUGGGUUCAUGUUCAAGCUAUGAUGUUUCUUUCCUGAUUGAAAAACUAUUUUUUUUUAUAUAUAGAAAAUACUAAACAUGAAAAAUUGGAUACCGGGGAGCAGUAAAAGGAGGUCCAGGUUGAAUGAAGCCACCAUGUUCUGAAGUGGUUGCGUUCGGUGUCAUAUAGCCAUGUCCCGGCUGUGGUUGAUGAAUAUUGGAGUACUGAUGCCUGAAUAAUAUUCAAAUAGUUAAACUUAGAACUGUUAUUCUAACUUGGUUGAUUUUCUAGUUCCAUUAUGUGCACAAAAAAAGAGAGAUAGAGAGCUCAAACAGACUUCAAAAGUUUAUUGUCUUCAUGAUUAAAAAAGUGUAGAUAUAUUCGAGGUUAAUACCAUUGAUUCCUUGGAGGUUGAGGUCCAGGUAGCAUCGCAGGCACUUGAUUGCUCAUUGGUAACUGAUAAUUAGUCAAUUGUUGGUCCCUAAAUUAGCAACACUUGUUAGUAAUUUCUUUAUACAUAUGCAUAAUUCUUUGCUAUUAAUCCACUAAGAUAUCAUUUUAGCUUACCUCAAAGGAUUGGCACAUUGAGGAUCAAAUAAAUUAGGAUUAGGCCGAUACCUAUAUUCAAACAUAAUGAAUUCACUGAUAAGUACAACAACAAGAGGAAGAAGAAGAAGAAGUUAAAUAAUGAUUGAAAAACUUUUUUUUUUUUUUCAGAAAAUACUAAACAUGAAAAAUUGGAUACCAGGGAGCAAGAGAAGAAGGUCCAGGUUGAUUGAAUUCACCAUGUUGUGAUGUGGUUGCAUUCGGUGUCAUAUAGCCAUGUCCCGUCUGAGGUUGAUGAAUAAAGGAAUAAUGAUGCCUAAUUCAAUGGACAUUGUAGCAAAUUGGAGUAAGCAUGAGUACUCACCAUGGUUUCUGGAAAUGAAGUUGGAAACUGAGUUGUUUGUUGAAUACUAUCGUUGAUCACAUUCUUAUGUCCACCUUGAUCAUUGCAUAAUAUGGAGCCUUGGUUGACUGGAACCUCCGGUGCCGGCCUGCUUCCAUGGAAUAAUAUAUAGGAUAAACUGAAAUAACUAAAUUGCAAGCAAUCAUCUUCUGAUAAAAUAUGCUUAAGAAUGACGUACGAGAGAAGUAGUGAUUGAAGAUCGACCAGUGUCCAGUCCUCCAUAGAAGAUGGUGGGAACCCUUCCAUCUGACCACAAGUACAAGAUGAUUAGUACAUACUGAGGUGAAAAAAGAACAGAAAGCACAUAGCAAAUUAAUAUAUAUAUAUAUAUAUAGACACACACACGAGUGGAUUGCUGGGUACACACGUUACGUAAGUCAAAAUAAAAGAAAAACAAAUAAAUGGUGAAAAGCAUAUUUUAAUGGCAGUCCCAUUAAUUGGAAAAGAAAAGGGUGAAUCUAAGAAAAGAAAAGCCUAUUUUUUUUUAAUAUUAAUAUAUAAAAAAUAUUAAUUUAAUAUUUUUUAAAAAAUAAACAAAUUUUCUAAUGCACUCAAGCAUAAUUCUAAGUACAAAAACAAAUUAUAUUUUAAUUGCAGGCAUAACAAUCUUGGCAGUACCGUUGCCGUUUUUUAGUUUACUAGAGAUAGGGCAGAAAGCCUUAAGAAAAUAAUCUCACAUUCUCUGGAGUGUCGAUUCCACAUUGAAGCAAAUAAUUAAAAGAAUAAAAGCAAAUAUUAAAUGAUUUAAUAAAAGUGACUAAUGAAAAAAGUGCUUAAAUUCUACAAACAGCAGAUGGAUAGUCGGAAUCCAUCGAACACAUUUGAUAUUUUAAUUAUUCUUAUUUUGUUAAUUCAUUGAAUCAUUGUAAGAAAAUAAAAAGUUGAAAAAUAUUGAAUAAAAAUAAAUGGCAGUCCCAUUAAUUUUUUUAAGCUUUUUUUAAAUUUAAUUAUAUGAUAAAAAUAAAUGCUCAUAAAAUUGAGUAUCAUCCCUAAAAUAAAUAUUUAUUUAAGAUUUUGAUAACGCUAUAGAAAGCAAACAAAAAUAAAUCAUUUAAUCUAUUUCCAAACCAAUCUAAUAUUGAAGGAUAAAAUUAAAAAAAAAUCAAUUAAAAAAAUUAAAAGACCAGAAACAAAAAAAAAAAAACAUAUUUCAUUCAUUGAUAAACCUGUCAAACUCGUGAAUCAGGUAACUUGGGCUAGCACAUCAAACCCAUGAACAAGGUUAUGGACUUAACUAGGAUUAUACUUUUUUAAAAAAUUAUUUUUAUUUAAUAAUAUGAUAACAAAAAUAGAUACUUAUACUUGUAAAAUUAAACAUCAACCCAAUAUAUAUAUAUAUAUAUAUAUAUAUAUAUAUAUGCUAAUUCGGCCCAAAUAUAUAUGAAUGACUUUCUUGUUUGUUAAAGAAAUUCGGAUGAAAAAUAUGAAAUAUAAAUGUUGUUGUUAAUGAUUUAAUCCUUUGUCUUUGUAGCUAAAUUAUCAUACUCAAAUUCUUUAUAUGACACGAGAUCCUAAAACUCUAGAAUGAUAGAUAGAAAGACGCAGGAUAACUGUUGAAGAAAGCAGGGGAAGGAUAACUGUUAAUUCAUUGAAUCAUUGUAAGAAAAAAAAGUUGAAAAAUAUUGAAUAAAAAUAAAUGGCAGUCCCAUGAAAAGAAAAGGGUGAAUCUAAAAUAAGGAGUUAAAAACAGCAAAGAAUCUUGAAAAGACGAAAACAAUGAAUUCAGUAUUGAUUUAGUAUGAACUCUCCACAAGGCAUGGAUUAUAAAAUCCGAGAAAAAGAUCAAUUUAUUUAUCAUGGAUUCCUUUAAAGAUUCAAACCAUAUUUACAUAUAUACAAACAAAAACACCAACAAGAUGAAGAAGAUGAAGUACAAAUAAUUAACCUGGAUUCAAGAUGUUCUUCAAGCGCUGGUUUGAUUGAGCAGUAUUCAGCCCAAAAAAAAAAAACAGAAGAGAAAUCACAUAAAUCUAGUUCGCACUGGUUAGAUGUGGAAAGGAAAAGAGGUAGAAGAUGAUGAGUACGUCCUGAGGAUUUAAAGAGAAGAGAAAUCACAGAUCAGAGAAGAUUAUAUGAUUUAGAAAAUAAUAAAGUUGCAGUAUACACAAAUUAUUGUUUUGUUUGAUAGGAAGGAAGUUGCUAGCAAGCAACCCACUACUUUACCUGCCAAAUAUUACAUUAUUAGAUAUAGGAAGUUAACGCGUGGACCACCCCAACCAAGGUUGUCAAAAAUGUUUUUUUGACACGACACGAAAUAUACAAUAUAAACUUGGAUCGUAAACUUGAAUUGUAAAAUCAUAAAAUCACAAGAAAAAUAUUUUAACUAAUUAUAUAUUGACAAUUUCAGUCAAGUAGUAAAUAAUAAUAUAACACAAUUAAAAUAAAAGUGAAAUAAACAAUACAAAUAUCCAAACACCUUAAAAAACAUAAUUCAAAUAAAAAUUCAUACAUGGUUUAAAUAACUUAAAAAUACGAAAAGAAAAAAAAUAAGAUUAAACAACUAUGUUUUAUUGAUAGAGUUUCAGAACAUUUUCUAGAGGACAGGUCUUGAAACAUACUGCAGACAACUAGUGAGAUGAUAUAACAUUCUAAGGUAUAUCACCAAUUUUAAAAAAAAAAUUAACAGAGACCAAUACAGUGACAACGAGAACAAAAAUGUACAAAAUGACAUCAAUUUAAUCUCAUGACACCUCACCUUCCACCUUUUUUAUGUUAGUAAAAAGUCUUAGAAAUAAUGUCCAAAUAUCCCACCAAGCAAGACAUGUAUUUCAAGUUUUCUCUGAGUCUUUGUCGUCUCUCUUUGUAGUUAACAAAUGGUUAGCCUAAAACACAAUAUUUCUCUCUAUAUAAGUAUUCCUAUCUCUUAUUUUACUCCUUUGAUUCCUUACCAUCUACCUCUGUCUUCCCAUGGUUUCGAUCCUCCGAUCAUGCCUUCCCGGCCUAAAAUACAGUUGUCGCGGGGUGCGCGGCGUCGCGGCGAAUUUUCCAUUUUUUAGAUCUAGGAAUGUGUGUAUGGUAUCUAGGGAUGACAAGAAAAUAUUUUCUUUGGUUGGUAAAAAAUGGAAUGGGAGUCGCCAACUAGUAUUUUGGUCACUAGGAACCCUAACUGGUCUCAGAGAUUGGGUACGGGGACUGGUUGCGUAAAGGGAAGGUAUUAGCACCCCAAAUACGCCCUACCUAAGGUAAGCUGCAUGGUUUAUUUGUCUAAUAAAAUUCAAGGUCUCGUUAUGUUUCCUAAUUGUUGGUCCGUCCAUGGCUCAAGAAAAGUCCUCCUCAAUAAGGAGGUCCUUAUCUUAUCGGGUAAAACCUAACCGUUCUAAUGUCUAUGUAAAGAAACCCAUAUUUUUAAUAUCGGGAAUACGUUUUACGUAUAAAUUCGUAAUCCCAAAUAUUAAAAGAAAACAAAAAGAUUUUUUAGAAUUUUUGAAAUAUUGGCCUAGUUCUCAUGGCUUGAAUAAACAGGUUAUUAAAGCCAAAAUGCAUGCUAAUACAUAUAUUGUUUUGAAAUUUCCUUUGUUUGUGUGAAAAUAUGAUGUUACAAUAUUUAUUUAUAUAUGUUAGAGAGACUAGGCCGUAUGCACGAAAACAAAACAUUUUUAACUUAUUUUAUUUUUUAUGUUUUGACGAAAACCGGGUAUUUUAAUACUGGGUUUGUAUUCUUACCGUAUAAAAAUACAACCAAAUAUUAAUCCACUUUGAUAAAACAGAUGCAGAAAAAUCAAUAAUAUUUUUGAAGAUAUUUUUAGAGAUUUUUGAAAGCAAAAGGCAUUUUUUAUUUUGAAAAUCUUUGAUGUUUUGAUGAAAACCGGAUAUUUUAAAACUGGAUUUUGUAUCUUUAGAGUAUAAAAAUACCAACCAAUAUUAAUCAAAAUACAGUAAUAAAAUUACAACAAAAUCACAUAAUUUUUUUGGUGUAAUUUUUGUAAUUUUUCACAUAUAUAUAUAUAAGUAAUACAAAAAAUAAUAUAUAUAUAAUAUAUAUAAUAUUAAAUCGGGCUGGGCCGGCCCAAAACAACUGGGCCGGACUCAGCCCCAAAAGUGUUGGGCCGAUCUCGGCCCAAAAAAUGGAUUGGGCCGAUUUCGGCCCAGAUACUAUUAUCCACUUCUGGGCCAGACCCGGCCCAGAAGACUGGGCUGGGCCAGGACCAGCCUGGCCCAGCAACAAACGCUGGCGGGGGGAAUUAUUUUCCCCCCACCCUUCUGCAUGCAGAACGUUAUUCGUUUUGCAUGCAGGAACGAAAAAAAAGAAAAUGCAGUAAUGAAGGGAGGAGGAAGAAUUACCUGGCACGGAGGAGGCGGUGGAGCUUGCUGCGUUUCCGGCGGUGUUGUGGCGUUGCGGUGGAAGCCGGUGGUGGUAUCAAGCGGCGCUGUAGUCCCAACGGCAGCUCCAAGCAGUGCUGCUACCUCCCCCGGCAGCGACGUUCUUCCCGGCUCCUUGCUGUUUUUUUCGUUUUCUAUGUUCCCUCGCGGUUUCUAGCUCUCCUUCCUCUCAGUGUUGGGUUUUCGGUGUCUCUCUCCUCUGUUUCGGUUGAUUUUCUCUCCUCUUCUCUCUCUUCGGUUUUUUUCUUUCUUCCGGGUCUCCUCCCUUUCUCCUCCUUUUCUUCUGUGUUCUUGGGUCUAUUUAUAGAGCCAAGAGGCGGGGCUUUUUAUGGCUGCACAUGGGGGGCAGGGGCUGCGGCGGUUGGUCGGCCAUUCGGGUGCAGCUGUCGAGACGUUACUCCCCUGUUUUCUGCAUGGCGCGCGGCGGGUGGUCGGCCAGCGGGCGUGGCUGGCGAGGUGCGGCUCCCUCGGUUUUCUGGCAAGGCAUGCGGUCAAGAGAGAGGCAGCACACGUGAAGAAGAAAAACCCACCAUUUUGCUUUCUUCCCCUGCUGCACGUCCAUGGGAGGAAGAAAGAGGAACAGUGUCGUUCAAAACGACACCGUUCCGAUCUUCUUCUUCUUUUUUUUUUUUUUUUUUGGCAUGAAACGGCGUCGUUUUAGGCAAAACGCGCCGUUUCAUUUAAGUCCAGCAAGACGCCAAAACGCGUCAAUUUGCAAAGCAGCCCUCAAUUAUCUUCUUUCCUUCAAUUGCAUCCCUGCCAAUUUCGGUCUNNNNNNNNNNNNNNNNNNNNNNNNNNNNNNNNNNNNNNNNNNNNNNNNNNNNNNNNNNNNNNNNNNNNNNNNNNNNNNNNNNNNNNNNNNNNNNNNNNNNNNNNNNNNNNNNNNNNNNNNNNNNNNNNNNNNNNNNNNNNNNNNNNNNNNNNNNNNNNNNNNNNNNNNNNNNNNNNNNNNNNNNNNNNNNNNNNNNNNNNNNNNNNNNNNNNNNNNNNNNNNNNNNNCUGAUUUGACCUAAUAAAUUCCUAAAAAAAUAUUUUGGCCCCAGAACUUAAAUUUCUUCUAAUUAAAACGCAAAUUGACUUAAAAAUCAAUUUUUCUUACAAUCAAAUCCCCUAUAAAUUCAUUUUAAAAUCCAAUUAAGUCCAUAAACAUCCAAAUUUGGGCUUUUCUCCUCAAAUUUCAAAAUUCCCCUCUCAAUAGGGCUCUCAUCCUUCAAGAAUAUACUGUCCUAACUUCAAUCUUUGUAUUUUUAACCUCAUUGACCAAUUUUCCAACCAUUUUCUGAGCACUCCCACCUCUUAUUAUUUUUUCUAAUUUCUUCCGGCUAUAUAUUUAUAUUUUUAUGGGGGGAACCCAAAAAUGGGUUACAACAACAGUAUAAGGCUUUCUCAUACCUAAGAUCCUUCAAUGCUGGUGCUAGUCUGCUAAGAUUGAAAAUUUGAUAUUUGGGCAACGGGGAAAGGGGAGACUGGGGAGUGGGGACUAAGUAGUGGAGUGUCAGGGGAUUCAGAUAGGGAGGCAGUAAAAUUUUUAACUUUUGCAUGUUAAAACUCUAAAUCGGUCAAACUUGUAAAAUCGAUCCGAUUUUACUGAUUUUAACCGAGUUUGACCGUUUUUGACCAAGUUUGACCAAUUUCAAGUUUUAACCCGAUUUGACAUGUUAUAUACAUGUUAACUCGUAAAAUCGUAAGAUUUUAAGAGUCAACUCGCAAUUUUAACAACCUUAACCCCAACUAUGAAGCUUUAGAAGAAGAUGCCUAGAAAAUGUAAAUACAUGAAUAUGAGAAACAAUAAUAUACUUUGCUUUUUAAAAUAUUUUUUAUUUAAAAUAAUUAAAAUAAUAAUUUUUUUAUUUUUUAAAAUUUAUUUUUAAUAAAAAAUAAUAAUUUAAAAGGAAAAAAAUUCAAAGUUUUUGAAAAGCAUGUGCUCUAACAAUAACAGAUUAAUAGCAUGUGAUUAAAGGUUUUCAGUCGAUGCCAUUACAUGCAGUCAAAGACUCCAUCCUUACUUUUAAUAAACAAAACCUACACUCAAUAAUAUGUCCUGGUUUUUUUAGGGGAUUAAUUUUUAAAAAAUAUAAAAAAAAAUGUUAAGAGUGAAGAAAGUUUGUUGGUGAUAUUAUCAAACCUGGUUAGGGGAGUUAAUAUUAAAAUCUUUCAAUUUAAUUUUUUAUUUAAUUUAAAUUUUUAAUUAAAUUAUAUGAGAAUUAAUUCAAUUUAAAUAGAUCAAUAUCUAAAUGUAAAGCAUGGCAUAGCUUUUUUAAAAAAAUUAAUUUAAAAAAAUAAAAAACCAGAAAAAAAAAACAUAUCAGGGAAAUCACAUAAGUUUAAUAGUAAGGAAGGAAGUUGCUAAGAAGGAAGUUAACGUGUGGACCCCUCUAAUAUUGAAACUUUGAAGAAGCUGCCUGUAAAAUGUAAACACGUGAAUAUGAGAAAGAGUAGCAUAUUAAGGUAGUAGAUAUCUCUUCCUUUUUUUUUUCCUCUUCAUAAUGCAUGGAUUUAAGUUGCUUGGAGAUUUCAUUAAUCAAAUUAAUUUUUUUUAUAUUUUAUAUUAGUAUAUUAAAAAAUACUAAAAAUAUAUUUUUUCAAGAUAAAUAAAUUUUUAAAAUAUAUUCAAACACAAUUUUAAAUAUAAAAACAAAUUAUGCCUUGAUUCUAUUGUAACAAUCUUCAUCUUCAAAGAUAAAUUAUUAAGAUCGUGACCUAUGUUCUCGAUUGAACUAGGAAGGUAUGGAGUGUCGAUUUCACAUUGAAACAAAUUAAAAGAAUAAAAAGAGAUAUUAAAUGAUUUAAUAUUAAAAAAAAAAUUAAUUUUCAAUGCAGAUUAAUAGUGAGUUUGGAGUGUGGUUGCUGUUGCUUUUCAAAGUGAUUUUUACUCAUAAAUAUAUUAAAAUAAUAUUUUUUUAUUUUUAAAAAAUUAUUUUUGAUAUCAACAUAUUAAAAUAAUCUAAAAUAAAAUAAAAUUUUAUCAUAUUAAUUUUUUUUAAAAACACAUAGGCUACUUUCUGGCUUCAGUAUCAUAUUUGAUUUUCAAAGUUUCAAUUAUUUUAAUUAUUUUUAAUGAAUUACAUUUAAUAAAAUUUUGUAAAGUCAAACAUCAACUUAGCUUAACGUUUAAGCCUUUUUUUUUUGUGUUUGUUUUUUUAAGUGAAUCCAAAAAAUAACCAAUAAUAAAUUACUAAUUACAUCCAAAGAAUAAUGCGGUGAUGGUAGCACAGCAUUGAUUCUACAUGGAGACAAAUUAAAAGAAUAGAAGAAAAUAUUAAAUGAUUUAAUAGAGAAUGAAAUUUAAUUUUAAAUGCAAAUUAAAAUAAAGCAAGGUGACUAAUGGAGAAGCACUACUGAAAUUCUACAAACAGUAGAGCGUCGGGAAUCCCUAAAUUUCCACUUGGAAGGUAUACAUAAUUAAAUCAACAUAACACCAAAUGUAACCCUUUUGAAAAAUCAUUCAUCACUUUUAAAUAACGCAAAUGAUUAUCCCUAUUAAGAAAAAUCAACGACAGCAAUAUAGUCAAGACCGAUAUUAUAGUAAAAAAAAAAUUAAAUCAAAACAGAUAAAUAAAUUAUCUAAAUAUAAUCAAAGAAUUAAUCCAUUUAAUAGAAAAAACAUAACUGAAUACAUGUUCCCCGUGUCCCACACGUUUUCAUCAAAAACCUAAAUUUCAGGACUUCUUUGGCAGCCACGUACAUGCUUUAGGAGUUUUUUUUUUCUGAAAUCCUCAUUAGAGGCUAAUUUCUAGCUUUUUAACGUUGGUUUGAAAAUGUAGUUGUAGUUUUUUUAAAAAAAUAUUUUUCAUGUUGAAACAUAUUAAAAUAAUUUUUUUUUAUUUUUUUAAAUUUAUUUUUAAGAUCAGCGUUUCAAAACAAUUCAAAACAUAAAAAAAAUUAAUUUUUAAAAAACACGGUACAACCAAGUUUCCAAAACCUUACUAAAAAAUACGUUAAAAAUCACAACAAUCUGAUAUGUGAGUGGAAAGUUAUGAUUAAAAUACUUCAAUAUAUCCAGGCUGUUUCCCAGAAAAAAGAACAUUACUACUACUUUAAGUGUAUCUUCUGAUGUUUGCCGGUUUUGGAAAUGCGCUUAAGCUUUUAAAUUAAUUACCUCUAUUUUAACCCUUUGUUGCACAUCAAAAAUAAUAAUAGGAUAUUGUUUUAUUAAAAAAAGAUUCAGGUAAUUCAUUGAAUCAUUGUAAGAAAAAAAAGAGUUAAAAAGGCAUGGAUUAGAAAAUCCGAGAAAAAUUUCAUUUUAUUUAUUAUGGAUUACUUUAAAGAUUCAAACCAUAUAUAAAAACAAAGUGGCACUUGGACUCCUCAGUGCCGGGCAUCCACAGCGCACACGUGACGCUUGGGUUGAUACAUGUGUGCUGACAAACCAAGCGCACAAGUGGCGCUUGGGUUCCUCCUCAGUGCUGGGCAAACCCCUGCGCCCACGUGGUGCCUGGGGGUUGGGCACCCCAACGCACACGUGGCUCUUGGGGUGCGCUGGGAGUGAGCCAUGCUUGUGCCCCACUUAGGAACACCUACAGCUUGGGUCAUGGCGCUAGGCCGAGGUUCUUAGGUCUUAGGAUUCUAAAUAUUAUUGUUUGUUUUAGAAAUAUUAUUAUUAUUAUUAUUAUUAUUAUUAUUAUUAAUGAAAUAAUUAAUAAAUUUGAAAGAAAAUAUUAUUAUUAAUAUUGAAAACAUAUUAUUAUUUAUAUUAUAAAUUUUUAUGAUAUUUUUUAUAAAAAUAAAAAGUGAGCCCGCGGCGCGGUAUUAUUAAAAAUAGUCAACAAUUCUAAGUAUUAAUAUAAAAAAUAUUAUAAUUUGAGUUGUAAAUAUUAUUAUUUUUCUUAUAAUACAAAGUAUUCAUAUAAAACAUAUUAUUAUAUGUGCUCUAAAUAUUAUUAAAUGAAAGUGUAAACUGAGUUGUUUGUUGAAUACUAUCGUUGACCCCAUUGUUAUCCACCACCAUGUUCUGUCCACCUUGAUAAUUGCAUAAUAUGGAGCCUUGGUUGACUGGAACCUCCGGUGCCGGCCUGCUUCCAUGGAAUAAUAUAGAGGAUAAACUGAAGAAUAACUAAAUUGCAAGCAAUCACCUUCUGAUAAAAUAUGCUUAAGAAUGACGUACGAGAGAAGUAGUGAUUGAAGAAUAACUAAACCAAAAAUAAAUAACACAUUUGGUAAUUGUAUCUCACCUCUGGAGUGUCGAUUCCACAUUGAAACAAAUUAAAAGAAUAGAAGAAAAUAUUAAAUGAUUGAAUAGAGAACAUAAAUUAAUUUUCAACGCAGAUUAAAAUAAAGCAAAUUCUACAAACAGCAGAUAGAUAGUCGGAAUCCCUUGAAACACAUUUAAUAUUUUAAUUAUUCUUAUUUUGUUUAAUGAAAGGUAAUUACUGCUCAAUUUCAUUGAAUCAUUUUGUCAGAAAAAUAUUGAAUAAAAAUUAAUGGCAGUCCCAAUAAUUGGAAAAGAAAAGAGUGAAACUAAAAUAAGGAAUUAAAAACAGCAAAUAUUAAAUAAGGUCAGCUCAAUAAUAAUCUAUUACAGCUGCUAGCUACCUUAAAUAAUAUUAUUUAUUAGUAAGGUCAGCUCAAUAAUAAUCUAUUAACGUAUUGUCUGAUAGGAAGGAAGUUGCCAGGAAGCAACCCACCGCUUACCUACCAAGCAUUAUAUUAUAAGAUAUACUAGAUGCCAUGCCCGCACGAUACCGCGGGUUUUUGGCAUGCUUGUGCGUUGUCGUGAUUUAUGAAAAAAAUUAAAAAAUAAUUAUAUGAAGAAAAACUGUUCCAAUCCACAUUGUUUUCAAGGAAAAAACUACAAAGCUAAAUUCUUAAUCAGAUUAUUAAUUUAAAAAUAAAAUGAACAAACAAAAUUUUUGAAAAAAUCAUAACAAAAAAAAAAAAAGGAAAAAAAAACCAAGCAGGGAAACAUUGUAGUAAUCUAUAGUGUUUCAUGAGGAAAUCUAUAGUUGUAAUUUUCAACCAGCUUUAUUAAAAAUAAUAAAAUCGAUAAAGACAAUUUUGAAAAAAAUCAUAAAAAAAAAUCAUAUGAGGGAAUACUGUAGGAAUUCACAGUGUUUUAAAGAAAAAAACUAUAAAGUUAAAUUCUCAACCAACUCAAUAUGAAAAAAAUAAAAUCGACAAAGACAAUUCUAGAAAAAAAAUCAUUAAAAAAAACCUUGUGGGAAAACACUGUAGCAAUCCACAACGUUUUAAAGAAAAAAACUACAAACUAAAUUUUCAACCAACAAUUCUAAAAAAAAUUUGAAAAAAAGAAGAAGACAAUUUUGAAAAAAAAAAAGCAAAAAAAAUGGAAAAAAAACAUGUGGGGAAAAUUAAAGCUGAAUUCUCAACCAGCUCAAUAUUUUAAAAAAAUCGACAAAGAUAAUUUUGGAAAAAAAUAUGUGGGGAAAUACUAUAGCAAAACAAAAUCAUGUGGGGAAACAUGGUAAUAAUCCACAAUGUUUUUUUUAAAAAAUACAAAGCAAAAUCGAUAAAGAUCAUUUUGAAAAAAAAAAGAAAAAAAUCAUAAGAAAAAGAAAAAAACCAUGUAGGGAAACAUUAUAGUAAUCCAUAAUGUUUUAAAGAAAAAAAUAACAGAACUUAAUUUUCAACCAUUUCAAUAUUAAAAAAAAUCAAUAAAAAUAAUUUUGAAAAAAAACACAAAAACAAAAAAGAAUAAUAAAAAAAAGACAAUUUUGAAAAAAAAUAAAAAAAACAUGUAAAGCCCAAAAAACAAAAAAAAUGUGUUUUUAAAAAAACACAUUUUAAAAAUAUAUUAAUUUUUUUAUAUAUAUAUUACCACGUAAAAACAAUUUAAAAAUAAUAAUUGCAAACAGUCACUUGAUACAGUUUUACAUACUUUUAAUUAGCGUCACUCAUUUAAGCCAUGUCAUGGGUUAAUGGUUACCAGCAACUCUCCAUUCCGUGACCUUUCCGACCCUACGUAGAACAACCAACUCCCCGGCAAAAAUAAUAAUAAUUUCAGUCGAAUCAUGUUUUUUUUUUAAAACUUGAUUUUUUUAUUUUAAAUUAAUUUUUUUAUAUUUUUAAAUUAUUUUGACAUAUUAAUAUUAAAAAUAAAUUUAAAAAAUAAAAAAAUUAUUUUAAUAUAUUACACAUAAAAAAUAAUUCCUUCCGACUGCCGAAGUCAAUCAUAGUAUACCUGCCUUUCCCGUUUUCAAAAAAAAAAGGGAAAAAUAAAAUUAAGACUUGUGUCUUUUGGGCAGCAUGGUGCACUGCUGUUAUACCAAAUAAUCUAGUCAGUCAAUAUCAUUUUUUUUAUUAUUAUUAAUCUGGCCAGAUAUAAACUAGAUUGGUUUGAUUGAAUCAAUCAAAUUUUACUGAAUCAAUAUUUUAUUUGGUUGAAUUACAAAUUCAAUAUUUUUUUUAUGGUAAGUAGUUAGAAAUAAAUGAAUAAAUAAAUAAAAGCUACGUACGUACCAAUAUUUAAAUUAAGUAACCUCAAAGACUACUAAUUUAGCUUUUGAUAUUAAAAGGGCGUAUGUUGUUACUCUCUGCCUAGAUUAAUGUAUUUUUAAAUAAAAAAAUAUUUUUUAAAAAAAUUAACAGCAUGCAGAAAUAUGCUAUUCUUUUUAGAAAAUUUCAUGCGUUUACAUUUUCUUGACAGCUUCUUCGAAGUUUCAACAUUGAGGCGGGUCCACAUUCUCUUCCACAUCUCAUCUCAUUAUACAAUUCCCUAUUUUCCUUUCCCCAUCUCAUGAUCAGUGCGAACUAGAUUCUUAGUAUACUGCAACUUUAUUAUUUCUCUAAACCAUAUAUUCUUAGUGUGUGGAGGCUGGUUCAAAGUGAAAUUUCACGACUCCUGGGCCUUGACUUGUCUGUUUAAUUUCUAUUAUUUUUAUUCACAUUUUAGCAUUUUAUUCCAAUGAUAGAAUGCACUUUCAUAGAGACUCAUCAUCAAAACCCCAGGAACGCAAUCAAGCUUUAGCUUCAAACAACCAGAUCGGGAGAUUUAGUGCAGUGGAGAACUUCAACAUCUACUAUGAAGCUUGAUUUGCUAUCCAAUCUUCACAUCAGUUUUCCAUUGAUACAAAGAUACUCUGUAUGUGUUUUCGUUGCCGGAAAGUUGUUCGAUCAAUAACUUUUUAUCUUUUUCCAAGUUUUUUUUGUGUGAUUCUUUUUUCCUUUCAUCUCAAACUCAUGAACUAAAAGGUAAACAAAAUAAAAUUUUAGGUUAAAAUAAAAAAUAAAAAAUAUAAGAUGCAAAAAAAUAUAAGGUAAACAAUAAACUAAAUUUUAGAAUAUGUCUCUUAACUAUUCGUAAGCUUCCUAUUCGUUCUUAGUUUUUCUUGAAGUUAUUCUAUUUGAUGUCAUGAGUGUUCCAUUGAGAGAUAAAAAAGAAGACAAAUUGGCAUCCUCUUCACCUGCUUACAAUGCAUUACAGUAAUAUCUCUAAGAGAAUUGUAAAUCAAUUUUUGCACUGCAAAUACUUUUCAGUUCCGGUAAAUCAAACAAUUUCAGAAUUUUCCAAGAUAAACAGAUUUUUAAAUACACUCAAACAUAAUUUUAAAUAUAAAAACAAUUAUGUUUUUUUUAUUGCGGCAUAACAGUGUUGGCAGUACCGUUGUUGUUUGGACUUUGAGCAGCAGUAGAUAUCUCCAGCGUACUGUUACCUGCCGGCUAGAAAAUGUAUGUUGCCGUUUUUUAGUUUACUAGAGAGAGGGCAGAAAGCCUUCAUUAGAAAAUAACUUCAUAUUCUGUGUGGUAGAAACCUGAUUCCACCCAAAAAUAAUUUCACGACAAUAUACUUAAGGAGCAAUAUUACAGCAAAGAAAUUAAAUCAAUACAGGUAAAUAAAUGAUCCAAAGAUUAAUUCAUUCAAUAGAAAAAACAUGACUGACUCCAUAAACUGCAUAAAUCUGAACAAAAGAGUUAGAAUAAUUGGAAAUCUGAACAAUUUGGCUACCCAUCACUGUAUUGGACGUUGAAAAUUUCCCGAGAAGAUUUUGGCACCAAGCAUUCAUAGCCAUUCCUUUCCUUGCAUGUUCUCCUUCUUCCUUUUUCUUUCUCUGGUGCAAUUCCCACACGUCUUCUUUAUGCCAAAUACCCCUCUUUUCAAAGGAGGCAGCCCCACUUUUCAACCUCCUUUUUCAUCACGUCUCCGUGCUAUAUUUUAGGACUUCUUUGGCACCCACGUACAUGCCUUAGGAGAUCUUUUUUUGAAAUCCUCAUUAGAGGCUAAUUUGUAGCCCUUUAAGAAACCUCCCCAACGCGUCAAGAAUCACAGCAAUCCGAUAUGUGAGCGGAAAGUUAUGAUUAAAAUAGUGCUACUUGGGUGAUUUGAAAAAAUGGUUGUGGUUAUUUUUUAAAAUGUUAAUUUUCACUCAUAAAUAUAUCUAAAUAAUAUUUUUUAUUUUUUAAAAAUUAUUUUUGACAUCAAUGCAUCAAAAUAAUUUGAAAACACUAAAAACAUAUUAAUUUGAAGCAAAAAUAAAAAAAAUUAAUUUUUUUCAAAAAUACUUUUGAAACACAAAAACAAACAGAACUUUAUCUUUUAACGUUUACCGGUUUUCGAAAUGCACUUAAGCUUUUAAAUGUAUUUUUACGUUUGUCUUUAGAAAUUAUCAAUUUGAUAAUUAUUUUUAGUGUUUUUUAAUAAUUUUAAUGUAUUAAUAUUAAAAAUUAAAAAAAUUUACAAAAAUUAUUUUUAAAAAACAUUUUUAAUAUACAUUUUAUACCACAAUAUAUAUCAAGUGAAAACAUAAUCCCAAAACCUUCACCAAUCAUGCUAAGGUUUUCAACCCAAUCAUGCUUUUUCCUUAUUAUAAAUACAAAAUAAAGUUCGAGUGAAGUAGUAGGGUACAAUCUUAAAUGGUCCAAACAUUAUUGUUACAAUGUGACUGUGGUCCCAACAUUAGUGUAGCAUUAGCCAUGUCUCAAGCUCCUCUGAUAAAAAAAUCAGGUUAUUGGUGUUUGAUGAAAUUAGUUGUCCCUAAAAAUAAAAUAAAAUCCUUUGUGAAUUAAUUAAUUACUCAAUUAAUCCCUAAAUUAGUUUUCUUGUUUUCCACAAAUUUUUUAAGAAUACAAAUAUUUUAUUAGAUGUUUAGACCAUAGUUAUUAAACCCGGACCGGCCUGGCGGGUCGACCCAUGACCCGGUGGCUAGAUUGGUCCGGGUUUGUUAAAAGACCGGCCGGUGCAACGACCUGGCCAAACCCGGUAGACCCGGGUGAGACCCGGUUUUUUUUUUUUUUCAAAUGUGGAAUUUGAAACCCAUUAGUAUAUAUACUCUAUAUUCCCAAGAAAAAAGUUAUGUUUUUUCAAUGUGGGAUAAAAAACUUUUUAGUUUAAAUACGUCAACUUAAAAAGAUAACAUAAUAUCUUUUCAAUGUGGGAUUUGAAGCUCUUUGUAUAAAUACUCCAUGUUCCCAAGAAAAAAUUUAUGUUUUUUCAAUGUGGAAUUUGAAACCCAUUAGUAUAUAUACUCUGUGUUCCCAAGAAAAAAAUUAUUUUUUCAAUAUGGGAUAAAAACUUUUUUGAUUUAAAUACUUCAACUUAAAAACUUAACAUAAUAUCUUUUUAAUGUGGGAUUAAAAACUUUUUAAAAUAUUCAUUUAAACUUCAUUAUUUACAAUAUGUAUAGCCUAUAUUUACUUGGAUUUUUUCUUAAUUUUUUCAUAUAAAAUAUUAAAACUUUAAAUAUUUUUUUAAAUUUUUCCGGAUUGAUCCGAGUUGACCCAUAAAACCCAGGACCCAGCCCCUUGGCCAAGUCAACCCUCAGACCGGGUUUAAUAACUAUGGUUUAGACACUCCACUAUUAUAAUAUUUUAUUUAAGUUUAGAUUUUUAUUUCAAUUUAUUGAAUUUUAUUUAAUGUAACAAAUAUUAUAAAUUAUUGUUUUCUUUUAUCUGGCGAUGAUAAAUUCUAAAAUAUUAUUUGAUUUUAUUGAUUUUGAAAGAAUAUAUAUUUUAAAAUAUUAUGAAAUGUUGUCCGAAUUUUAUAUGUUUUUGUUUUCUAAAUGCAUGUUCCAAGACUUAAUGUGAAUAUGAUAUUCUUAUAGCAUUGAUUUUGCGUUGGUAGUCAUGUAUCCGAAACACGGUUCGUGACAAUAACGCAAAACACAACAAACAUUGUUGGAAUGCUGAAUCCUUGAAGUGCGUAUAACAAAAUCUCAGUGUCCGGAAUACCUCUUCCUCCAUGGCAUCUUGCCUAACUCUUGAUUGUCUCAGGUCCCCCAAGGCAUUCCUCCACUUCUUGGUUAGCUAUCUCAUGGAGGUUGACGCCAUCAUACCUUGGAAAUUCAAUUCAAAAAUACCCUUUAAUUUCUAUUAUUUUUAUUCACAUUUAAGCAUUUUAUUCCAAUGAUAGAAAAUUUAGAAUGCACUUUCAUACACUGAUCAUCAAAACCCCAGGAACGCCAUCAAGCAUCAGCUUCAAACAACCAGAGGGAGCUUCAGUGCAGUAGAGAACUUCAACAUCUACUAUGAAGCUUGAUUUGCUAUACAAGAUCUGCACACCAGUUUUUCAUUGAUACAAAGAUACUGUAUGUAUUCAAAAAUACCUUGUUUUCUCUAUUGGUACAUGGUAAAAGUCUGAGCAUAUUUUUUUUAAUUUUAAUUUUAAUAAUAGUACUGUUCUUUCUACCGCCAAGAAAUCAAGAACGCUAGAUUCAUUCAACAAGAUUCUAAAGCUUAUAUUUAGAUAAAUUAGCAGAAAGGACAAAAAUCCUAGUGCAAAAGGCCUAUAAACUAGCCCAACUAAUCAUACCCAGAGAAGCAAAAACCAAAAACAAGCUAGCUCAAUUUUUGCUCCACCUGGCUAAGAAAUUCAGCAUACCCCCUUGGAAUUAUACACCAUCCAAAUUAUUUUAUUUUUGAUGAGUCAUUUUAAAAUUCAAACUUAUGAGUUAUUUAUUAAGUUAAUUCAGAUUAAUUAUUUUAUUAAAAUAAUAUUACUUUAUCUUUUUUAGUAAUCUGAUUAGAUAUGAACUAGGUUGGUUUGAUUGAUUGAUUAAAUUCCACCCAAUCAAUAUCUUAUUUAGUUUAAUUACAAACCCAAUCCAAGUUAAAUUUUAAAUUUUAAGUUUUUUAAAUAAACACGGUUUAACAAUUAUUUUUUUAUCUUUAACUAAACUUUGAAGUGUAUAAACUUUCACACUCAGUGUGUGUAUAUAUUAUUCAACCAAAUAAUUGCUUGUGACACAUAUGUGGCGAGCUUUCUAGUAUGAAAAAUUUUAUGCGUCUAUUUUAAAAUUUGGUUCUGAGAGAUAGACAACGAAAGGAUUAACAAUAUGAAAGGUACAAUUUGAUUGAGAGAGAUUAUGCUUACCCUUUAUUCGAAAGGAUUACCCUACUGUCUCCCACCACGACUUUACAAAGGGACGAAAGACAUCCUUUGCGUUAGGAUGCUCCCACUCCACUACUGUCUCCCACCAUUCUACUGGAUACUGGAUAUGCUCGGAUGUAUUUAAGAGAAGGGAGAAGAGAUGGCUGGCCAUUUUCAAGCAACGGAAGACAAAUUGGAAUCCUCUUCACCUUCUGACAAUUGAUUACAGCAAUAUCUUCAAGAGAAUUGCAAGUCAGCUUUGAACCCCAAAUGCUUUUCAGUUCCGGUAAUUCAGACAAUUGCAGAGUUCUUAACUUUGGGAGUAUUAAUUUCGUGAUGGAAAUGGAGGUGCUGCUUUCUUCAUCUGUUGUUCCUAUUAUCUCCUCCAUUUUCUCACAAUCUCUAACGUCAAUCACUUCCAGGUUUACGAGGUUUGACAACAACACAAGUGGGAACAGCUUCUUCAUACUUUUACAUCUAACAC